rnacentral:rRNA from 1 species
UACAGAGGGUGCGAACGUUGCUCGGAAUUACUGGGCGUAAAGCGCGUGUAGGCGGAUCGGCAAGUCAGGCGUGAAAUCCCCAGGCUCAACCUGGGAACUGCGCUUGAAACUGCCGGUCUUGAGUGUCGGAGAGGGUGGCGGAAUUCCUGGUGUAGAGGUGAAAUUCGUAGAUAUCAGGAGGAACACCGGUGGCGAAGGCGGCCACCUGGACGACAACUGACGCUGAGACGCGAAGCGUGGGAGCAAACAGGUGAAGAUACCGGGGAGUCCAGACGAAUCGUCU